UUUUUGAAAGAAACAGAACAUGUGAAAGUGUGAGCAGGGGACACGGGCAGAGGGAAAGAGAGAGAAUCUUAAGCAGGCUUCACAUCCAACACGGAGCCUGACGCAGGGCUCGAUACCACGAUCCUGGGAUCAUGUCCAGAGCUGAAAUCAAGAGUCCAACGCUCAACCGACUGAGUCACCCAGGCGCCCCUGAAUUGUAUACUUUAAAAUACAAUUGUAUACAUAAAAUACAGCACCUGGGUGGCUCUGUUGGUUGAGCGUCCGACUCUUGAUACCAGCCCAUGGUCAUGGGAUCAAGCCCCGCAUCAGGCUCCACACUCACAGCGCAGAGCCUGCUUAGGGAUCUCUCUUUCCUCUCUCUGCCCCUCCCCCUGCUCACUUGUGCACUCGUGCUCUCUCUCACAAAAUAAAUAAACUUUUUUUAAAAUAAAUGAAUAAUAAAAUGCAAUUGAACCUUGGGACACCUGGCUGGCUGUCCAUAGAGCAUGCUAUUCUUUAUCUUGGGAUUGUGAGUUCAAGCCCCACAUAAGAUGUAGAAAUUACUUAAAAAUAAAAUCUUAAAGGGGAGUCUGGGUGGCUCAGUCUAUUGGGCAUCCGACUUCGGCUCAGGACAUGAUCUCAGUCUGUGGGUUCUAACCCCACAUCAGACUCUGUGCUGACAGCUCAGAGCCUAGAACCUGCUUCAGAUUCUGUGUCUCCCUCUCUCUCUCUCUCUGCCCCUCCCCUGCUUGUGCUCUCUCUCUCUCUCUCUCUCUCUCAAAAAUGGACAAAUAUUUUUUAAAAAAUUUUAACAAGAAAAAAUACAGUUACAGUACUAUACUGUAUUUAUAAAAAAAAUUCACAUGUAAAUGGGCCUACCCACACAGUAUUUUACCACACACAUAAAAAUCAUUUUUGGGCACACCUGUGUAGUUCAGUCAGUCAAGUGUCCGACUUUGGCUCAGGUCAAGAUCUCACGGUUCGUGGGUUCAAACCCCUCAUCGGGCUCUGUGCUGACAGCUCAGAGCCUGAAACCUGCUUCAGAUUCUGUGUCUCCCUCUCUCCGCCCCUCCUCCACUCAUGCUCUGUCUCUCUCUCUCUCUCCUUCAAAAAUAAACAUUAAAAAAAAAUUUUUUUAAUCAUUUUUUGGUGAGAACCCUAGACUGUCCCUGCUGAUCUCCAACCUCACCACCUGACCCCAGCCACACUAGCCAACCUGUUGUUCCCAUCUCAGUGCCUUUGCAGGUUCUGUUUAUUCUGCCUAGAAUAUUCCUCCAUACCUCUUUCUCACUGAUUCCUUCUCUCCCUUCACAUUUCAACUAGAGAAAAUCAAACUGCUGCAUUUACCAUGCUGAACCCAGGGCCUGCCCCAUAGUAGACACUCAGUAAAUGUGUAAAAGAACAAAAAAAAAAAAAAAAAAAGGACAAAUUAAUGCAUGAACAUGAUGACUGUCUUGACCCUGCCAGUUUUGUGAGCUACAAGAUGAGGUUAGGGUUUACUGAUUGUUUUUGUUUUUGUUUUUGUUUAUUUUAAGUAGGCUCUAUGCCCUAUGUGAGGCUUGAACUCAUGACACCAACAUCAAGAGUCACAUGCUCUACUGACUGAGCCAGUCGGUCACCCCUGGGCUAUCUUACUUUUUAAUCUUUUUUUUUUUUUUAAUUGAGUUACAAUUCACAUAACAUCAAAUUUAUCAUUUUAGCUUCUUUUUUUUUUUAAUGCUUAUUCACUUUUGAGAGAGAGAGACAGACAGAGUGUAAUCGGGGGAGGGGCAGAGAGGGAGACACAGAAUCCCAAGCAGGCUCCAGGCUCUCAGCUGACAGCACAGGGCCCGAUGCCAGGCUCAAACCCACAGACUACGAGAUCAUGACCUGAGCCCAAGUCAGAUGCUUAACCGACUGAGCCACGCGGGUGCCCCUCAUUUUAGCUAUUUUAAAGUAUACAUUCGAUGGCAUUUCAUACAUUCACAAUGUUGUACAAUCACUACUUCUAUCUAGUUCUAAAAUAUGUUCAUCACUUCAAAAGAAAACCUUGUAUCCAUCAGCACUCACUCCCCAUUCCCUCUCCCAUCAGACCCUAGCAACCACUAAUCCACUGUCUCUAUGAACUCUUUAAUCUUUUGAUAAAGGCUUAUAAUAUGGAGAGAAAAGGUUUAUUUAUUUUUGAGAGUGCAGCAGGGGAGGGACAGAGAGAGAGAGACAGAGGAUCUGAGCUCUUCAGCACAGAGCCCAAUGUGGGGCUCAAACUCACAAACCAUGAGAUCAUGACCUGAGCUGAAGUUUACUUAAUGGACUGAGCCACCCAGGCACCCCAUGGUGAGCAUUUCAUCACGUAUAUAAUUGUUGAAUCACUAUGUUGUAUACCUGAAACAAAUAUAAUAUUGUAUGCCAAUGACACAAGUAAUUUUUUUUAAUGUUUAUUUAUUUUCGAGAGAGAGAGAGAGACAGAGCACAAGUGGGGGAGGGGCAGAGAGAGAAGGAGACACAGAAUCGGAAGCAGGCUCUGAGCUUUCAGCACAGAACCUGACAUGGGGCUAGAACUCACUAACCAUGAGAUCAUGACCUGAGCUGAAGUCAGACGCUUAACCGACUGAGCCCCCCAGGCCCAAUUUUAAAUGAGGGGUAACUGGGUAGCUCAGUUGGUAGAGCAUGCAACUGUUGAUCUCAGAGUUGUUAAGUUCAAGCCCCAUAUUGGGAAUGGAGCCUAUGAUAAAAAAAUUUUUUUUAAUGGUUUUAAAUGAGACACUAGAGAGCUUGCUGUGGUGACAAAGAAGAGCUUAUGUGAGCACACAGUGAUAUAGCAGCCUCCUACCAGCCAAGACAAGAAGCCUAAGAAUGACAUCUACUUUGCCAGCACCUUUAUCUUGGACUUCCCAGCCUCCAGAACUGUGAGAACCCACCCGAAUACCUCAGGAUAAUUUCCCCAUUUCAAGAUCUUUAAUUACAAUUGCAAAGAUUCCAUGGCAACGGAUGCAGCAGAUCCAGAACCACGACUUCCGCCCGAAGUGGAGGAGCAGGACGUCAGCGCGCUGCCGGUGUCCUGCGCUGGGGAGAGCAGAUGAAGCGCCCCCGGCCGCCUGGAUUUAACGUGGAAUCUGCGACUCCCAAGCAGGGCAAGGAGGGAAAGGACAGGAGACUUCCACAACCCAGAAUUUCAUCCCUUUUCCUGCAGAAAGGAACCAGGGCUCCUGGGAGAAAUGAUUGAUUCCAAAACUAAACAGAGAAAGUCCCAGAGGGAGCUGUAAAUCUCUAGCCAGACACCAGAUCAAUGGCUUCCAGGGUGGAACAGAAAUGGAUGCAGACUGUACAAAGGAAGUUUUAAGGUGAAGGAUAACGUUCUAAACCUGCUUGUGGUGGUGUGCCUGGCUGGCUCACUUGGUGGAGAAUGUGACUCUUGAUCUCAGGGUUCUGAGUUCACGCUGCACGGUGGGUGUACAGAUUACUUAAAAAGAAAGAACUUGGAGUGCUUGAGUGGCUCAGUUCAUUGGGCGUCUGGCUCUUGGUUUUAGGUAGGUUCAUGAUUUUACAGUUUGUGAGUUUGAGCCCCUCAUCGGGCUCUAUACUGACAGUGCAGAGCCUGCCUGAGGUUCUCUCUCUCUCCCUCUCUCUCUCUGCCCUUUUCCCCCUCUCUCUCUUUCAAAAUAAAUAAAUUAUAUAAAUAAAUAAGCAAAUAAAUAUAAAUAAAUAAACAAACAAACAAACAAACAAAUAAAUAAAUAACUUUGGUGUGGGGCACCUGGGUGGCUCAGUUGGUUAAGCAUUGAACUCUUGAUUUUGGCUCAGGUCAUGAUCUCACUGUUCGUGGGAUCAAGCCUUACAUCAAGCUCUGUGUUGGCAGCACAGAGCCUGCUUGAGAUUGUCUCUCCCUCUCUCUGUGCCCCUCCCCUGCUUGUGCAUGCAGGCACACACUCUCUCUCUCAAAAUAAAUAAAGAUAAAAUAUUUUUUAAAAAACUUUUUAAAUAAAAAUAAAUUAAACUGGAUUGUGGUGAUAGCUGCACCAUGAUGAAUAUUAAUUUGCUCAGAAGCUUUGAAGGCUACCUGCAAUGGGUGUAUUUUAUGGCAUAUAAACUAUACUUUAUGGGCAUCUGGCUGGCUCAGUCAGCAUCCAAGCAUCCAACUCUUGAUCUUAGGGUUGUGAGUUCAAGCCCCACAUUGGGUGUAGAGAUUACUGAAAAAAAAAUUAAUUAAUUAAUAAAACAAUAGUUUAAACUAGGUGCGCCUGGGUGGGUCAGUCGGUUAAGCAUCUGACUUUGGCUUGGGUCAUGAUCUCACGGUUUGUGAGUUUGAGCCCCAUGUCCGGGCUCUGUGCUGACAAACGGCUCAGAGCCUAGAGCCUGCUUCAGAUUCUGUCUCUCUCUCUCUCUCUCUCUCUCUCUCUCUCUGCCUCUCCCCUGCUGGUGCUCUGUCUCUUUCUCUCUCUCAAAAAUAAAUAAACAUUUAAAAAUUAUUAAAAAAUAGUUUAAACUAUACAUUAAUACAACUUUCAUACAAAUGGCAUGGACAAUAAUAACAUGAAAAGAAAUUCUACAUUCUACGUCAUAAGGGAAGUGCAAAUUGAACCAGUUCACAUCCACUUAAAAAAAAAGAGAGAGAGGGGUGCCUGGGUGGCUCAGUCUGGUAAGCAUCUGACUUUGGCUCAGGUCAAGAUUUCAUGGUUUGUGAGUUCAGGCCCCGCAUCGGGCUCUGUGCUGACAGCUCAGAGGCUGGAGCCUGCUUUGGAUUCUCUGCCUCCUUCUCUCUCUGCCCUUCCCCAACUUGUGCUCUCUCUCUGUCUCUCAAAAUUAAUGUAAAAAAAAAAAUUUUUUUUUAAAGGACAAUAGCAAGUGAUGGAAGGGAUAUGGAGGACUUGGAAUACUCCUUUAUUGCUGGUGGGAAUGUAAAAUGGUGCACUACCUAUAAAAAAAAAAGUUUGGCUAUGCCUCAAACAGUUAAACAUA